ensembl:snRNA U6 U6 spliceosomal RNA
AUGCUCACGUCAGCAGCAUAUCUAUUAAAAUGGGAAUGAUAAAGAAAAGGUUAGCAUGAUGCCUGCACAAGGAAGAUACACAAGACACAAUUCAUGGAAUCCUUGUAU